rnacentral:rRNA from 1 species
AUUGAACGCUGGCGGCAUGCCUUACACAUGCAAGUCGAACGGUAACGGGCCUUCGGGUGCCGACGAGUGGCGAACGGGUGAGUAAUGCAUCGGAACGUACCUUUCAGUGGGGGAUAACGUAGCGAAAGUUACGCUAAUACCGCAUAUUCUGUGAGCAGGAAAGCAGGGGAUCGCAAGACCUUGCGCUGAUUGAGCGGCCGAUGUCAGAUUAGCUAGUUGGUGAGGUAAAGGCUCACCAAGGCGACGAUCUGUAGCGGGUCUGAGAGGAUGAUCCGCCACACUGGAACUGAGACACGGUCUAGACUCCUACGGGAGGCAGCAGUGGGGAAUUUUGGACAAUGGGGGGCAACCCUGAUCCAGCCAUGCCGCGUGAGUGAAGAAGGCCUUCGGAGUU